AUACGAACGAGACUCUUCCCUGCUAACCACGGUGUAAAUACGAUGUCGAGUGUGUGUAUGCUUCACGGUGUGCAUGCAUGUUCGUAUCGUAUCGUUCCAGAGUAGACGGUGUGAUUCUAUAUAGUGUCCAACGAACGCUCUCGCAUGCGUGUUUCUAACUCGUGUGUGUUUGUAUUCCGGAGAGUCCGCCGAUCCUACGUAAUUACAUGAGACGGUGCUUCACGUGUCUUCUGUGUACUUACUCUGUGUGCAUUUCGUACAUGCUCUCGUAGUGUGUCUCGUGUGUAUGAUAUGAGCGAGUCAUAGUUUGCCUCGAGUUGUUUUCCUAUCUUGUAUAUGCGUAGGAAGUUUUCUUCUUAGAGGUAUUGACGACUCACGUUCAAAGUCGUAAGAGACAAAGAGCAAUAACAGGUCUGUGAUGCCCUUAGAUGUCCUGGGCCGCACGCGAGCUACAAUGCCGGGUACAACGGGUCUUGCUUCCUUCUCCGAAAGGAGUGGGUAACCCUUUGAACACCCUUUUCAUAUUGACGAUUGAGGUUAACAUUUUACAUGUUUUCUCUCUACCAUAUAUCGUCUGGCUCGCUUGGGCCUGGGGCUUGCUAUUCUUUCCCACUAACGAGGAAUGCCUUGUAGUGGCGGGUCACUGAGCUCGUGGCGACUCAGUCCCUGCCCUUUGUACACACCGCCCGUCGCUACUACCGAUUGAGUGUACCAGUGAGAUUCUUGGACUGGCGAACCUCGUAGCUUCGAUCUAUUCAUUUAGUGUCGAGUGAAAGAGGCGUACGACGGGAAGAGACUCGAACUGGUGCACUUAGAGGAAGUAAAA
rnacentral:rRNA from 1 species